AGGGAGAGAUUCUAGGGUUCGGAAAUAAUUCGAGAAACUAGGCUAAGAUUGUUUUGGUUUUCGAAAGAGGGUGAAAAAGCUCAUUCAGUGAGCUGAAAAGAGGGAUUGUUCUUUAUUCUUCCCUUUUAGGUUCGAAAGUUCUUAUGUUCAAAAUUUGAAGGGAAAUUUCUUCUAAGAGAGAGGUAUUUGAAAGGAGGAAAAAACUGAGGGAGGUGGAAGAAGAAAUUUUGAGAAUGAGCGAUUCCUUUGGUGAAGUUUUCUGGUUUCCCUUCUUCUUCUUUUGAAACUUGCUCGUUUAAACGGAAGACCUGAAGGUUCGUCGAUUGGUCGUGACUUCCGAAUUGACAGCAACGUUAUUCUCUGGUGGUGAUCGAGAUUCCGUCAAGAGCUCGAGUCCCGUUUUGCUGCCCUGAAGCAGGUAACUCGUCGUUCCGUUUAGUUCCGUUUAAUUUCUGCCUGAUCUCGCCAUUACGUAAAUAUAACAAUGUUUACGAUAAUUUUCUGGGCUGGAAAUUGCUUGCUAUAGGAAGCCUUAUAGGCCAUAGGACCUUGUAUGAGAUAAUUUCAUCUGUUUCAUUUGAUUGCCGUUCGUGAUUCAUGUUCAACGAGCUGAUUAGUGUAUGAUGAAAACUGUCUUAUGAAAUUGCUUGUUCUAAUCAACGCUAUUAGGUACUGCGUAAAAUAGUUGUGUAUGUGCUCUAUAUUUCGGGAGGAAAAUAUUUGCAUAUUAUGUUUUUGCCACAACUGAUGGUUUAUGUAUCAUGUGUACUUGAGAUUAUUCAUUUAUGGAAUGUAUGUUAUAGGAUUUUCAUGUUUAUACACCUUAUACUCUACAAGAUGUCCUUAUCCGAAUGUUUCAAUUUGAGUAAAUGUGCAAUGCCCCUCUUCUGGUAAAAGGAUAGGUCCAUAAACUGGACAAGAUGAUGGGUUCAAAUGAUUUUGCAUCUUCUUUGGGAUUUGUUCUUAGGAGCCUCAUUUGUGACACUUCUUUAUCAAAGUUAAAUAAAAGAAGUCUUUUCUAUUUAUAGUGUGUAUUCCCUUACUUUACCUAUUUCGACAUAAGUUUAACACGUACACUUGUAGUUCUUAGUUGAAAAUUGAUUCUAAAACUAGCUUUUCCUAAGUCAUUACUAACUCGUAUUAGCUUGUAUACCACCUGUAAGAAACUUUUAGUAUCCUAUUCACUUGUCUGGUAAAUACACCUCUUCUUACAUCAUUCUUACUCUUGUUGGAUAAGAAAGCGUUUUUAGUUGCAUUGCUCCUUCCCGCCUUUCUGAUUCAUUUCAGUACCUAAGGUUAAGAGUUUUGCAUCCGUUUAAACACAAAAUCAUGUUCACGUUUUAUUUAAAGCCAUCUUCUUUUUCGUGUUAUCGUUUGGUAGAAAAAUUCAAUAGGGUAAAAGUUGUUUGUAGGCUAUAUGUGUGGUGACAUGCCUAAUUAAUGUGAUUACUCUGUGGGAGAAGUUCUGUUUUGGUUGUUUCCUGAUUNN
rnacentral:lncRNA from 1 species